rnacentral:rRNA from 1 species
CCAAUGUGAACGUUACCAAACUGUUGCCUCGGCGGGGUCACGCCCCGGGUGCGUAAAAGCCCCGGAACCAGGCGCCCGCCGGAGGAACCAACCAAACUCUUUCUGUAGUCCCCUCGCGGACGUAUUUCUUACAGCUCUGAGCAAAAAUUCAAAAUGAAUCAAAACUUUCAACAACGGAUCUCUUGGUUCUGGCAUCGAUGAAGAACGCAGCGAAAUGCGAUAAGUAAUGUGAAUUGCAGAAUUCAGUGAAUCAUCGAAUCUUUGAACGCACAUUGCGCCCGCCAGUAUUCUGGCGGGCAUGCCUGUCCGAGCGUCAUUUCAACCCUCGAACCCCUCCGGGGGAUCGGCGUUGGGGAUCGGGACCCCUCACCGGGUGCCGGCCCUGAAAUACAGUGGCGGUCUCGCCGCAGCCUCUCCUGCGCAGUAGUUUGCACAACUCGCACCGGGAGCGCGGCGCGUCCACGUCCGUAAAACACCCAACUUCUGAAAUGUUGACCUCGGAUCAGGUAGGAAUACCCGCUGAACUUAAGCAUAUCAAUAAGCGGAG